GUCUGUUUGAUGACAAUGACCAAAAGAAAGGGACAGACAACAGACAUCAAGGCUCCCCAGAAAAGAUCGCUGAGGUCCAGGAAGCGCGAGGCUGCGGAGGAAGAUGACCCGCUCACUGAGCAGAGAGAACAGAUACCAGUGACGGAGACCAGUACACAGGAUUCUGACAAAAUAAACUCCACUUCCCAAAAUGCCUCAGUCUCAGAGCUCACUCUACAGGAACACACAGGUUCCUCAGACAGCAUAGGGAACAUUGAUUCAUCUAAGCCUGAAUUAAAAGAAACGGGAGAUACCAUUACCCAGUGUGGUGGGGGUGCACACCUAGUCUCUACCAAGGGGAGCCAGUCAACUCACUCCACCGACUCUGCUGAACCUCCCUCUAACCAAACUAAGACGUCCCACCAGACCAGCUCUCUCUGUGCCCCCGAACCAUCACUGGAUGGGGAGGCCGUACUCGGAGGCCAUGCUCCCACUGUGGGUGGCGAGGUGGUGUCAGAGUCCCGGCACCACCACUCACAGGAACACGGGGGGGAGGCCACGGACGUGCCCGGGGAGGAGAGACCUUGGUCGUCACAGGGGGCGGACGGGGGACACCCAACCCACGCUCCGGCGAGGAAGAAAGUGAGGAGGAGGAUGGGGAUGGGCAGGCUAGUGGAGAGGGAGAAGAAGAACCCUCUGGACGGACAGAACUGUGUGAGGAGGAGGGGUGGUGGAGAUGGAGGAGAGAAGGAGAGAGAGACUGAUGGAGGUGGAGGAGAGAAGGAGAGAGAGACUGAUGGAGGUGGAGGAGAGAAGGAGAGAGAGACUGAUGGAGGUGGAGGAGAGAAGGAGAGAGAGACUGAUGGAGAUGAAGGAGAGAAGGAGAGAGAGACUGAUGGAGGUGGAGGAGUGAAGGAGAGAGAGACUGAUGGAGGUGGAGGAGAGAAGGAGAGAGAGACUGAUGGAGGUGGAGGAGAGAAGGAGAGAGAGACUGAUGGAGGUGAAGGAGAGAAGGAGAGAGAGACUGAUGGAGGUGGAGGAGAGAAGGAGAGAGAGACUGAUGGAGGUGAAGGAGAGAAGGAGAGAGAGACUGAUGGAGGUGGAGGAGAGAAGGAGAGAGAGACUGAUGGAGGUGGAGGAGAGAAGGAGAGAGAGACUGAUGGAGGUGGAGGAGUGGAGGUGAACGAUGGUCCCACUGUUGCGGAGAAAGAAGAAACUGUGCAGCCGGAGGUCGCGCAAUCAGACGCUCCAUUGGAGGAGAGCUCUAACGAGAUGGAGACGGAACAAUCUGGAGGGCGUGGGGGCAAAAAUACAGAACGGCCAGAAACGGUCGCCAUAACUACCUCUGAUGGUUCUAGAACUGUCCUCCAUUCCGAAAAGGUAACAAGAGAAGAAGACCCAAACUCCACAGGUCCUAGCAAGGUAGCCAGUUGUGAAGAGCAGAGAAAUAUUACUCCCCUACAGGAAAUAGACCCAAUGGAGUUGGAGGUGCAGCAGAAACACAUGAGGGAGGUCAGCAGUGAAGAAGUUAAACCCUCCAGUAGCUCGUCAGCCAUCAUAAAGUCAACAAACAAAAGUACAGAUGUGAGAGAGGCAUCCCCAGGCAACCAGAUACAAGACCCAGCUGUAACCGUAGCGACGGUUGCCAAGCACAGCAUUCCAGACGGCCUACUCAAAGUGGAAGAUGCCCGUAAUGUUAUUUCUGAUGUCCUGAAGUCAACCGAGGCCAUCAGAACACCAGAAUGUGAUGUAAUGAGCUGCAGCAUUAAAACAAUGUCCAGUGAACCUACAGUGCCAUCUAGUGGACAGGAAGACAGUAUACGUUCUGUCCUGGAGGGGACCCCUGUGCCUGCCAAAGGUCAUGACCCCGAGACACACAUCAUUCCUGACCUGUCUCAUGACCGCGAUCCAUUUGACCCUUUAUUCGUCACUCUGGUGUCUGACUCACAGCUCAAUGACAUCACACUGAUCAUGGAGAUGGAGGACCAACAUGGCCCAGAAUCCUCUAGGGGUCAUGAGGAUGCCACAGAGCUGGUUUGUGGACUCAUCAGCGAGCUGUCCUCACUCAAUCGUACCAUCAUGGCCGCUCACCGGGAGUUGGACAGUCUUCGCCGUGGCAACCGGAACGCCAGGACGCCUCAGCGUCGCCCCUACGCCCCCCGCCGCCCUGACACCCAGCCUCCCACCAUGUCUCUGCCUGGCCAAUGACAUUUCAGCCUCCUGCUGUGAGAGCCAAUCAAAUCCCACCUUGCUGUCAUGAUGAAGACCCCCCCCCCCCCAUUAUAAACCAUAAUCAUAACAUAAACAACAACAAGCUUAAGAACACUAGAGACGACCCACACAGGUCAUUGGAGGUCAUCUGCAUUCAUUCAGUCAUUUAUUCAUUCAUCCAUCCAUCCAUUUUCCUAGUUCCCACUAGGUAGCCCUCUCUUUUCCUCUCCCUCUCUCCCUCUCUCUUUGAGCAUUUGGGUGGCGCCUACUUCAGUCUUCUCCUUCUCCACUUUUUCAUGUUUUAGGCUCUUUACACAUAUAAUCUCUUCCAUUGUUCCUGUUGUGAACCCCUGCCACCAACCCUUACCUGGACUGAUGCACCUUGGGAAGUGGAGUUUACCUCACACCACUGAUUGGCUGCAGGUGUUCUUCAAUUAACACACAGUAGUGGUGAAGUGCGAGGGGUCAUGUUCAUUGCAUGUGCCCUGUGUAAUAUCAAGUCAAUUUCAGUGAUAUUAAGUUAAAGGUUCACAUUAUAGUUGACUAAGGAGCCGUUUGAGUUACAGUUGCCAUAUUGUUUACACCCAUUACAAAAAGAAGAGUCACUAGAUAGACUGAUUCAAUCUAUGUACUACUAUAGACUCAUAAUCAUCCACAGCAGGCGCUUGUCCCCAGCAUGUUCAAUGUUGUUUAUAUGUGUUUAUAUUUUUCAACCCAGUUCUAAGAGGAAUAAACCACACUGUUCAUUUUGGAGUAAUAUUAUU
rnacentral:lncRNA from 1 species